rnacentral:rRNA from 1 species
UACAGAGGGUGCAAGCGUUGUUCGGAAUUACUGGGCGUAAAGCGCGUGUAGGCGGCGUCGUGAGUCAUAUGUGAAAGCCCUCGGCUCAACCGAGGAAGUGCAUGUGAUACUGCGAUGCUUGAGUGUUGGAGGGGGUGGCGGAAUUCCCGGUGUAGAGGUGAAAUUCGUAGAUAUCGGGAGGAACACCUGUGGCGAAGGCGGCCACCUGGACAACAACUGACGCUGAGACGCGAAAGCGUGGGUAGCAAACAGG